AUAUUGAAAAAACAGUUUCACGCAGCAAAAAGAAAAAGAAACAAAAAAACAGUCCUUCCCUGAACAAAAAUAAAAACAAAAAAAAAAAGUUUCUCUUAUGAAACUCUGUUCUCCGUCUUUCUGUUGUCCUUCUCCGUUUUUCUGUUCUUCUUUGUUCAUCGUAUCUGUUCUUCUUAGAUUUUUGUUGUAAUUAUAGUUUGUUUGUUUUUAUUUUGCAGAUACAGUUUUUGAAGAUGAGAUACUAUUAGGGUUUCGUUUUGUAGGUCACCAAGACAAUAAACGCUAUACUAAAGGUUUUGCUCCUGAUAAACAAUAAAAUCCCAUCAAAUUUCGGUAAACCCUAAGCUUAUUCGGUGUUUCUCUGAUUAUAAAUCCAUCAAAUUUCAAUUCCGUUCAAAGUGCGUCAAACGACUGAGGAUGUGCUGAGUUCUGUGCACGAAUCUAUAAACAAUAAAAUCCCAUCAAAUUUCGGUAAACCCUAAGCUUAUUCUUUGUGUUUCUCUGAUUAUAAAUCCAUCAAAUUUCAAUUCCGUUCAAAGUGCGUCAAACGACUGAGGAUGUGCUGAGUUCUGUGCACGAAUCUAUAAGCUUGGGUUUCAUUGCUGAUUGAUCGUUUGGUUGGUUCUUUGUUAACUGCAUCCUCGCCAUUUCGGCCCAAAUCUACGUGACAAGUUGGUCGCAAGGCUCAUGAAAUAUGUGGAAGGAAGGUACAGGGUUUGUAAAUCAUGUUUUGACUCAUUAGACAUUUUCUUCCAAUUAUUUUUGUGGAGAUGUUGUAUUUUUUUUUGGAGUACAUACUCUAAUUAAUGUGCUAGUAGUAAGAUGUGAAGUACGUUAUAUUAUGGAAAUGUGUUGGCAAUGGGUGGUGAUGGUCCUGAUGGAUGAAUGCAAAAAACAAUGUACGUGGGUUUGUUUGUGGUUCUGGUGGUAAUCUAAUUAGAAACGUAGAUUAUUUUGUUAAUGUAGGUUAACUGUAUAUGCAUUUUGGAAGUAAUGGGGGUUUGUAGAUUUACCAGGUGAAAGAUUGCUUUAUUUGUGUUUCUUAGAUUUAGUGUAGGUUAACUGUAUAAGUCAUCGGUAUGUCAGAAUGUAGCUUCUCUAACCUUAAUGAUCAAAUGGCGCUAAUCUACUCCGAGCCUGAUGUAACGGUAGACUGUUAACAUCAACCUUAAUUCACGAAUUGUACUUAGCAGUACUAAGAGGAAAAAAAUUGUUGAUAAUUUUGUUCAUUGCCAGCUUUGGGACUAUAUGAGAGAACCUAGGAGCCGACACUCUUUCGGUCAUUCUAUACACUGUACAAGUUGUGAAGUUUGUAUAUGGUAGCAUCCCAGUUUACCAGGUAAUGGGUAAUGAUGUUGAACCCAAGAUCAAUAACAAACAAGCAAGACACUAACUAUGCUAAGGUAAUCGUUGUUUUAUACAUUUUUGUGCAUUUUUUGUUUUUAUCAGACUGUUCUAUCCUAAUUUUUCGAGCUAGAAGGAUGAGGGAAUAAUUGUUUGUUAAUUAUUUUGAAAAACUGCGUGGCUUCCCAAGUUUUUUCAGACUCAUUAGAAAUAGCUAAGAUUUUUUCACAUAUUUUAAUACCAUGUUACCAUGUCAAACACAUCAGCAACAGGAUAAUUUGAUGUCUACAUUUGGCACUGGGUUUUAGCCGAGUCUCAGUAUCCCGUUUCUUUGAAUUACAUAUCGUGCCUGAACUAAAGAUAUAUCCAAGGAUUAAUUAUAUACUUUGGUAAACCUCUUCCCUGCUUUUGAAGUCACUGCGAGUAUAAUCAAGCUCUAUUUAGUGACACCAUAUUAUUUUGGUGAACGGUAAUUUGUUUUUAUUUUGCAGAUACAGUUUUUGAAGAUGAGAUACUAUUAGGGUUUAGGGUUUCGUCGAUUGAAGGAAAGUUUGAAGAUGAGAUUCAAUUUGAGGUUUAGGUAUGAUUUCUAUCAAAUAUUAACUCUUUUGCUAUACAAGAGAUUCUAUCAAAUAUUC